CUUGAAACACGGACCAAGGAGUCUAGCAUGUGCGCGAGUCAUUGGGAAAUAACUAAACCUAAAGGCGAAAUGAAAGUUAAGGCCGGCCUCGCGCCGGUCUAGGGAAGAUGGGUGCCGCAUCAGUCGGCGCCCCGCAUUCCCGGGGCGUCUCGUUCUCAUUGCGAGAAGAGGCGCACCAAGAGCGUACACGCUGGGACCCGAAAGAUGGUGAACUAUGCCUGGUCAGGACGAAGUCAGGGGAAACCCUGAUGGAGGUCCGUAGCGAUUCUGACGUGCAAAUCGAUCGUCGGAACUGGGUAUAGGGGCGAAAGACUAAUCGAACCAUCUAGUAGCUGGUUCCCUCCGAAGUUUCCCUCAGGAUAGCUGGCGCUCGUGUCGUACGAGUCUCAUCCGGUAAAGCGAAUGAUUAGAGGCAUUGGGGCCGAAACGGCCUCAACCUAUUCUCAAACUUUAAAUGGGUGAGAUCUCCGGCUUGCUCGAACCGUUGAAGCCGCGAGAUACGGAUCAGAGUGCCAAGUGGGCCAUUUUUGGUAAGCAGAACUGGCGCUGUGGGAUGAACCAAACGCCGAGUUAAAGCGCCUAAAUCGACGCUUAUGGGAUACCAUGAAAGGCGUUGGUAACUUAAGACAGCAGGACGGUGGCCAUGGAAGUCGGAAUCCG
rnacentral:rRNA from 1 species